ensembl:lncRNA
GUUUGCAGAGGGCAAGGCGGGGCAGGUCCAGUCCUGUGGGAAUGUCCCCCCACUACGUCCUUCCUCCUGGGAUGAGCCCCACCCUACCUCCUCCACCUGGGCCUGCCAAGGUCUCCAUGGCCACUUCCCUCUGGGCAGCCAUCCCUUCCAGGGCCCUGGGCCACAGCAGGCAGGGAAUGGAGUUAUCUAGGAGUGGACUAUAGCUUCCCUCAGGAAAAAGGGAUGGAUUAUCAUCACUGUAUGGCCUUGGGACGUACCAGCUCACUGAAGAAAUCAUCAGGGCUCCUACUCAUGAAGUCCAUCCUGCAAGUGAGGACAACCCCUGAAUCUGGCUCCAAAGAGGUGGUGCUCCCCACAUAGCUCUCCAUAGCAUGGUCACUGACAAAAGGCUGAAUUGAGCAGGCAAAGGCACAGAACUCCCUUCUGCCCACGGCUCUCCCUCCAGUCACCUUUGUGGAGCACAAUGAGCUUUUUGUCCAACCCAUUCAUCUUACUGAUGGGGUCACUGGCCUACCCUCCAAGGAACUUGCCAUGGAGCUGGAAGGCGCAAGCCCUGAGCCUGCAUCUUGGCCCUUCUCUGGCUCCAAGCACAACACCCCAACUCUGUUUCUUUAUCUGGACAGCAAGUUCCUGAGAACCAUCCCACCUGGAGAAUUUCUACAUGCCAUGUUUUAUGUGAAGCACUCUAAUCAUUUUUUUAAGCUAUGCAUCAAGCAGCUAUAUUAUCUCAUUUAAUUUCCUGUUAUUCUCCCCAUCUGAGUCUGAGGACAUCUGGGUUCAGAGAGGGAAAGUUGAUUCAGCUGGUCACACAGUCAGUGAGCAAUGGAGUCGAGAUUGGACUCUGGCCAGCAGAUGUUGGGUCCUCCUGGGCUGCUACCCACUUCAAUUCUCAAAGGGAUACAACUCACAGAUGUGGUGGACUUUAGUGGGAAAAGGCUUCCCUCACCCCCUGCCCACACCUCACAAAUGAAAAGUAAUCCUGGAUGGGGCUGCUGGGAGGAGGUCUCCAUGUGGCCAGAAGGGGCGGGCUGCUGCUGUGUCCUGGGGGAGAAGGUCAGGCAGCAGGAAGUCAGGCGGACAGGGAGCAGGGUGCUGACCGUAGCUCUGCAGGCGGGAGGCUGCUCUGGACGCCCUUCCAGGGCAAGACCAGCGUCAGCGAGGCCUCAGGCCUCAGAGGGAGCGGUCUGGAGCUCAAGGAGCCAAACUUUCCAUGAGCCAUUAGCAAAAAAUGAGCCUGGAGAACAGUGUCCACCGCAGACCCAGAGACUCAGCAACCCUGGGUCACGUGGAAUUCAGAGGGGCUGGGACUGUCUUAACUCUUCCCUGGCUGUCCCCAGAGCCACCAAGAAACUGCUUUCAGAUUGAUGCUACGCCCAUCGUGGAAAGCUGUGAAGUGGCAGUGUGGGUCCCCCAGGCCACACAGCCAAGACAGGCAAAGCUGGAAAUGACCCCACGCCUACAUGGCUGAGCAGUGCACCCAUUCCUCCCAUAGUGCCCUGCUGCUGCCCCAAGCACUCGGCUCCAAGGAGUGUGAAAAACAAAAAAAGAGUCUUCAUAAGUCCAUGAAAUGAUUUGUCUCAAAAGACCAUGAGUUGCCCUGUGCAGGCUGGCCUGGGCUGUCAGAGCUCGUUGGAAAUAGGGCUGAGUCAGCCCCCAUGAAGACUCCAGGAGUCCAUACCUGGGUGCUGAAAAGUGUAUAGAGGUGGGCCCUAAAAGGAUGGGCAGGAUUCCAAUGGGUAGAUGGA